UUGAACGCUGGCGGAAUGCUUUACACAUGCAAGUCGAACGGCAGCACGGGGGCAACCUUGGUGGCGAGUGGCGAACGGGUGAGUAAUGUAUCGGAACGUACCCAGUCGUGGGGGAUAACUAUCCGAAAGGAUAGCUAAUACCGCAUACGUCCUGAGGGAGAAAGCGGGGGAUCGCAAGACCUCGCGCGAUUGGAGCGGCCGAUAUCGGAUUAGCUAGUUGGUGAGGUAAAGGCUCACCAAGGCGACGAUCCGUAGCGGGUCUGAGAGGACGACCCGCCACACUGGAACUGAGACACGGUCCAGACUCCUACGGGAGGCAGCAGUGGGGAAUUUUGGACAAUGGGGGCAACCCUGAUCCAGCCAUUCCGCGUGAGUGAAGAAGGCCUUCGGGUUGUAAAGCUCUUUCGGUGGGAACGAAACGGUACGCGCGAAUAACGUGUGCUAAUGACGGUACCCAAAGAAGAAGCACCGGCUAACUACGU
rnacentral:rRNA from 1 species